rnacentral:rRNA from 1 species
ACAGCAGCCGCCACGGGAAUACGUAGGGUGCAAGCGUUAAUCGGAAUUACUGGGCGUAAAGCGUGCGCAGGCGGUUAUAUAAGACAGAUGUGAAAUCCCCGGGCUCAACCUGGGAACUGCAUUUGUGACUUUAUAGCUAGAGUACGGCAGAGGGGGAUGGAAUUCCGCGUGUAGCAGUGAAAUGCGUAGAUAUGCGGAUGAACACCGAUGGCGAAGGCAAUCCCCUGGGCCUGUACUGACGCUCAUGCACGAAAGCGUGGGGAGCAAACAGGAUUAGAUACCCCCGUAGUCCCUGUCUCUUAUAC